ensembl:ncRNA C08B11.13 ncRNA
CCGCCUCCCCUUCCUCCUUCUCCUCUUUCCUUUCUAUCUGUUCGUUUUUUCGCUUCCACAAAAAUACAGUUAGAAAAAUGAAAUGAUAAUAAGAAAUGUUUUUGAGGUAGAGAGAAGAACCAUAAGUGUUGCUCGCGCCAAGAAAAACUAGUUUUCUAUUCGGAGAUUCUUCCCUUAAAAAAAUUA